rnacentral:rRNA from 1 species
UAGGGAAUCUUCCGCAAUGGGCGAAAGCCUGACGGAGCAACGCCGCGUGAGUGAUGAAGGUCUUCGGAUCGUAAAACUCUGUUAUUAGGGAAGAACAAAUGUGUAAGUAACUAUGCACGUCUUGACGGUACCUAAUCAGAAAGCCACGGCUAACUACGUGCCAGCAGCCGCGGUAAUACGUAGGUGGCAAGCGUUAUCCGGAAUUAUUGGGCGUAAAGCGCGCGUAGGCGGUUUUUUAAGUCUGAUGUGAAAGCCCACGGCUCAACCGUGGAGGGUCAUUGGAAACUGGAAAACUUGAGUGCAGAAGAGGAAAGUGGAAUUCCAUGUGUAGCGGUGAAAUGCGCAGAGAUAUGGAGGAACACCAGUGGCGAAGGCGACUUUAUGGUCUGUAACUGACGCUGAUGUGCGAAAGCGUGGGGAUCAAACGGG